rnacentral:antisense_RNA from 1 species
UCACAAACGACAUUGCUCACAUUGCUUCCAGUUUUAGCAGGCCAACUACACUAAGUUGGCCUUUUUUU